GUUACGAUCUGAUGCAAGGUUAAGCAGGAAAUGUGGAGCCGUAGCGAAAGCGAGUCUGAAUAGGGCGUUGAGUAUUUGGUCGUAGACCCGAAACCAGGUGAUCUACCCAUGGUCAGGUUGAAGUUCAGGUAACACUGAAUGGAGGACCGAACCGACUUACGUUGAAAAGUGAGCGGAUGAACUGUGGGUAGCGGAGAAAUUCCAAUCGAACUUGGAGAUAGCUGGUUCUCUCCGAAAUAGCUUUAGGGCUAGCCUCAAGUGAUGAUUAUUGGAGGUAGAGCACUGUUUGGACGAGGGGCCCCUCUCGGGUUACCGAAUUCAGACAAACUCCGAAUGCCAAUUAAUUUAACUUGGGAGUCAGAACAUGGGUGAUAAGGUCCGUGUUCGAAAGGGAAACAGCCCAGACCACCAGCUAAGGUCCCAAAAUAUAUGUUAAGUGGAAAAGGAUGUGGCGUUGCCCAGACAACUAGGAUGUUGGCUUAGAAGCAGCCAUCAUUUAAAGAGUGCGUAAUAGCUCACUAGUCGAGUGACACUGCGCCGAAAAUGUACCGGGGCUAAACAUAUUACCGAAGCUGUGGAUUGUCCGUAGGACAAUGGUAGGAGAGCGUUCUAAGGGCGUUGAAGCAUGAUCGCAAGGACAUGUGGAGCGCUUAGAAGUGAGAAUGCCGGUGUGAGUAGCGAAAGACGGGUGAGAAUCCCGUCCACCGAUUGACUAAGGUUUCCAGAGGAAGGCUCGUCCGCUCUGGGUUAGUCGGGUCCUAAGCUGAGGCCGACAGGCGUAGGCGAUGGAUAACAGGUUGAUAUUCCUGUACCACCUAGCAUCGUUUUAAUCGAUGGGGGGACGCAGUAGGAUAGGCGAAGCGUACGAUUGGAUUGUACGUCUAAGCAGUGAGAUUGAGUGUUAGGCAAAUCCGGCACUCUUAAGAUUGAGCUGUGAUGGGGAGAGGAAAUUGUUUCCUCGAGUCGUUGAUUUCACACUGCCGAGAAAAGCCUCUAGAUAGAUAAUAGGUGCCCGUACCGCAAACCGACACAGGUAGUCAAGAUGAGAAUUCUAAGGUGAGCGAGCGAACUCUCGUUAAGGAACUCGGCAAAAUGACCCCGUAACUUCGGGAGAAGGGGUGCUCUUUAGGGUGCAAGCCCAGAAGAGCCGCAGUGAAUAGGCCCAAGCGACUGUUUAUCAAAAACACAGGUCUCUGCUAAACCGUAAGGUGAUGUAUAGGGGCUGACGCCUGCCCGGUGCUGGAAGGUUAAGAGGAGUGGUUAGCUUCUGCGAAGCUACGAAUCGAAGCCCCAGUAAACGGCGGCCGUAACUAUAACGGUCCUAAGGUAGCGAAAUUCCUUGUCGGGUAAGUUCCGACCCGCACGAAAGGCGUAACGAUUUGGGCACUGUCUCAACGAGAGACUCGGUGAAAUCAUAGUACCUGUGAAGAUGCAGGUUACCCGCGACAGGACGGAAAGACCCCGUGGAGCUUUACUGUAGCCUGAUAUUGAAAUUCGGCACAGCUUGUACAGGAUAGGUAGGAGCCUUUGAAACGUGAGCGCUAGCUUACGUGGAGGCGCUGGUGGGAUACUACCCUAGCUGUGUUGGCUUUCUAACCCGCACCACUUAUCGUGGUGGGAGACAGUGUCAGGCGGGCAGUUUGACUGGGGCGGUCGCCUCCUAAAAGGUAACGGAGGCGCUCAAAGGUUCCCUCAGAAUGGUUGGAAAUCAUUCAUAGAGUGUAAAGGCAUAAGGGAGCUUGACUGCGAGACCUACAAGUCGAGCAGGGUCGAAAGACGGACUUAGUGAUCCGGUGGUUCCGCAUGGAAGGGCCAUCGCUCAACGGAUAAAAGCUACCCCGGGGAUAACAGGCUUAUCUCCCCCAAGAGUUCACAUCGACGGGGAGGUUUGGCACCUCGAUGUCGGCUCAUCGCAUCCUGGGGCUGUAGUCGGUCCCAAGGGUUGGGCUGUUCGCCCAUUAAAGCGGUACGCGAGCUGGGUUCAGAACGUCGUGAGACAGUUCGGUCCCUAUCCGUCGUGGGCGUAGGAAAUUUGAGAGGAGCUGUCCUUAGUACGAGAGGACCGGGAUGGACAUACCUCUGGUGUACCAGUUGUCGUGCCAACGGCAUAGCUGGGUAGCUAUGUAUGGACGGGAUAAGUGCUGAAAGCAUCUAAGCAUGAAGCCCCCCUCAAGAUGAGAUUUCCCAACUUCGGUUAUAAGAUCCCUCAAAGAUGAUGAGGUUAAUAGGUUCGAGGUGGAAGCGUGGUGACACGUGGAGCUGACGAAUACUAAUCGAUCGAAGACUUAAUCAAUUU
rnacentral:rRNA from 1 species